UGAGCAAUCUGCCCUUCUCAUCGGAAUAAGCGUUGGAAACGACGUCUAAUGCCGAAUACGACCUCCUUUCGCAUGAUCGGAGGUGGAAAGCUCCGGCGGAGAAGGAUGAGUUCGCGGCCUAUCAGCUAGUUGGUGUGGGUAAUGGCCCACCAAGGCGACGACGGGUAGCCGGCCUGAGAGGGUGACCGUCCACACUGGGACUGAGACACGGCCCAGACUCCUACGGGAGGNAGCG
rnacentral:rRNA from 1 species